GGAAAUGUAGCUUAGCAGUACAGUGCUUGCUUAACAAGCAUGAAGCCCUGGGUUCGAUUCCUCAGUACCA
rnacentral:tRNA from 1 species